GGCGAGGCUGGAAUCAGCUGCUUUCAAGAGGGGAACUUUAUUUAUACACCGAUGCCAGUCGCGCUCCCGCUAUUAGGCAUUUCAUCGGCUCCUCUGAUUUAGGGCUCGCCACGGGCUGCCAAUCGCGGCCGCCUCCGGCCCAGCCCUGCCCAGCUCACAGCGGCAGAAACGACCGGGAUCUCAUUUCCCGCCGGCCACCCUGAACCCGGGGCUCCCCUCCCGCUGGACACAUUGAUUUAGUCCUUCCUGGAAACUGUCUGGCUGGGAUCUGACGGGCAGCUGUGGGGACCCCGCUCAUCCCCCCUGGGCUGGGCAGGCGGGGCCCGGGGACACUAAUGGGGGAGGAUGCUAGGGGCGCCCCGAAUUGGGGGCCCAGAGCGAUCUGCCACCCCCUGACGCCCUGGGGUCCUGGCUCUGGCGGUGUCAGCAGCCGAGCCUGCGAUGCGCACUCCAGGGUCAGCUCAUCCGGGAGCAGGUCCCAGGAGGCGCCCAGGGGCUGAGGAAGUGAGACCAGGAGGGGACGCAGACCAGUGAGGCUGGGAGGCGAGCAGGUUUCCACGUGGGCACCGGGGCUCAGGUGUGCCGGGACCUCCGGGAGACUGUGCAGGAGAGCAUCUCAGGGUCGCCCACCCAGGGCCACGAGGGCAGGGUGUUGGUACCCAGCACCUGUCUGUCACCCAGUGAAGGCUGCUUCCUCCCCAGGGCAGGCGGCGUUUGCCCCCCAGCUCUGCUCCCCUGCCCGCUUGCAGACCCAACACGCUCCCGCAGCCGCCCCAUCAGCCUGCAGGCCGGGAGAGGGCGGGGCGCCGACCCCACGAGGCCAUUCAUCUUCCCUGCCACCUGUCAACGCCUCCUCUUUCUUCGGGCCUCUGCUGGAAGAGCACCUCCUCCAGGAAGCCCUCCUCAACUGUUCCUAAGAAAGAGACCUUACCCGUCACGGUGACCUUAUCGUCCGGAUAUUUCUUUCCGAAUGUGUAUCAUGAGCCAGGAUCCUCCAGGGAUGUGUCUGUUUGUGGCUUUAUGGUGCAUCGCCCCCGCUAGACUGGAAGCACAACACGCAGUUCUUGCUCCGUCCUCCCUGCGGCCCCGGAGGGCUGGUGGAAAAGCUUGCUGGACCUCAUCUCACAGCCGUGAGAGCUGAGGCUCUCUGGGACACCCCAGGACGCCAUCCUGUCUCGGUUCCUCUUCUGCUCUGAGCUGCAAUCUGCAAAAUGGGAUGACAGUGUCACGCCAUCCUGAGAUGAGCUGAUGGCACGAAACUCCAUGGAAAUAAGAGCGAUGUUGCCACUGACAAUGAAACGAGGGCAUGUGCAGAGCAAGGGGACGCCUCAGGGGUCCCCCUGUCCCCAUGGAGCCCCACUGUGCACGCGUGGUCAGCCCAGCGGGUCCCCCACCUCCACCCCCAUUUCAAGACACAGCAUCAUCAGACCUCUUCCUUCCUCCCCUUCUGCAGAUGGGGAAACUGAGGCCCCAGGAAGGGAGCAGACCCACUCAAGGACACCUUGCCAUUGGGUUGCAGCCUAGAGCCUGACUCCUGCCCAGGGCCCUCGGCUCCAUCCCCCCUGGAAAUCCACAGGGAGACCCCCUGCCGGAGCAGCAGCCUCCCUAGCAGGGGGGCCCGAGCCAGGGGGUCGUCAGCCUGUUUUAUAGACUCUCGUCCCUGUGUUUUUGCUGCGCCUUUUAAGGGCUGGGGAUUCAGGAAAACCAACUCAACGUGCAUAAUUUGUCAGGGAAACGGAGACCCAGAGAGGCCAAGGUGGUUGUCCGAGUUCACCCAGCGGAGGAGCAGAAGCGGUGUCUCCUGACACCGUCUGAGCAUUAAAUGCGUCCCCGGCUGCCACGGAAACGCCAAACCCUGCUUCUCUGAGUGUGGCCCGAGCCAGCCACGUCAGCUCGCCUGGAGUUUACUAACAAUGCAGAAGUUGAGGCCAGUUUCGCGGCAGGAGACCUGUGCUGUCCCCCGGGGCCCCACCCUUGACCCAGCGCGCUGCUGCUGACGCCCUGAGCUUCUUCUGAAUGGUUCUGAACGAGGAUUCCUGCACUGCCGUGUAGACCGGGCCGGGCCAAUCCCAGGCCCAGGCCUGCGCAUCACCGUCUGAAGUCACUCCAUCUCCCAGCGAUUCCGGGAGUUUGAGAAGUGGCUGAUUUAAAAUCCCACGCACCAGCCCCCAGUGUGGACGGCUGGCAACGCCAUUGUUAGCCUGAGAUCAUCACAGAGCCAACCCGUGCCCC
ensembl:lncRNA